GGAGGAAAGAACUAACCAGGAUUCUCUCAGUAACGGCGAGUGAACAGAGAACAGCCCAGCACCGAAGCCUGUCUGCGUUUGUGGACAAGGCAAUGUGGUGUUUAGGUGUAUGCCUGGGGUGGUCAGUCUAUUCGAAGUCCAGCAUAGAUUAUGGCUCUGGAUUUGGUCCAUAGCGGGUGAAAGACCCGUACGGAUAGACUGUUAGGUGUGGUAGACCGCCCUCAGAUGCAUUCACCUUGGAGUCGGAUAGCUUGAGAAUGCUGUCCAAAGUGGGUGGUAAACUCCAUCCAAGGCUAAAUACUUGCACGAGUCCGAUAGCUAACAAGUACCGUGAGGGAAAGUUGAAAAGUACUCUGAAGAGAGAGUAAAUAGUACGUGAAACCGCCUGUAUGGAAGCUGGUGGAGUCAAGCUGCAUGCCCUGGAAAUUAAGCAAGUGAUCGUGGUUGGCAUUGCGGAGUUGGGCGAUCGGUGGCCUUGCAAAUAGGCUGACGGAUUUCGGUCCGUUCCAUGUGCGCACUGGUUGGUGCGUAUGCGGCUGGUUGUCUAUACUCUGUGUCGCUUGUGUGCUUUUCCUGUGGCAGACAUCACGAUCGAUAUCGUCGCUGGCAUGUGGUAGUGAAACCGUUCGGACGUGGGUCUCGUACUCGCGCCGGACGGGACGGCAGGUAGCUUGCCUGUGUCAUUUCAGCCUCCUCGUGGGGUUGUUGUGGCCUAGUAAGCGUUUUGUGGUUACGACCAGCUCUCUACCAUCCUGGUUAUACAUUCAGCCAUGCGAUAUAUCGUUGCUCUUGUCGUGGUCUGGGAGGUUGUUGGUGUUCCUUGCGGGUUGUUCAGGCAUGUUUCUGCGCAAGCAGUUCGAGUCUGUGUC
rnacentral:rRNA from 1 species